UUUGCAUUGUCUGCACACAGGAGACAUCAGGCAGCUGCUGGAACAUCUCGCAUUUGGAGACUGUUGAUUUUACAUUUGAAAAAUUUGGUGAACCCCACAUCCUAUUGCCAUCUCAAUGCAGCUGUGCCAAUUCUGCUGCUGCGCUGUGCUUCACAAUCUCACUCUUCUCAAUGGGGAUGUUGUUGAGUCAGAGGAUGAGAAAGACCAUGAAGACACACCACUGAACCCCACAACCUUGAGACAAGAGCAGGAGAACAUGUGCGGGACAAUCUGGCUAUCACCGUGUCUGCUCGACUACCUGUGAAACAUUUAAACAGAGUCUUCCUUUCUUCCCACAAAUGCUGCCGUCACCUGCUCCACCACAAAAGAUCUGCAGAAAAUGCACAGAAAUCACAAAUCAAAAGUGCUGUAAUAACUCUGUUUGAUGUUACAAUAAAUAAAAUAAAGUACAACUUAAGAUUUAAAAGAUGUUUUAUUAAUUUAUGUGAUGUAUACUCACUGAAAGCCUUUGAUGGCAGCAUUCCUUCAUCAGUCACUCUUCACCGGAUAAACACACGUGUGUCUCAUCUGUCCCUGUAACAUCCAGACAUGAUUCAGUUACCUCUGUGAUUCAAUUCUGCAUUUACAUUUUGAGGUAGUUGCUGAUUUGUUAACUGGCUUUUUAUCCAACACAAAUGCUCCUCAAUUUAUCAACAGUAAUGGACAAAUGAAACAGAUGAACUCAUGUUUAGUUACUUUAUGUACAUGUGUUUAUUUACACUAUUUACAUUCAACUAAAGCAGUGUUGACAGCAGUGAAUUCUACAUAAUAAGCACACAUAACGUACACCACUCACACAGAUGUCUGUUUCAUGUUGUGAUGUGCUCAUCUGCAAUUCUCUUACAACACUUUACUGUCAGUUGUUAAAUAAACAUUUAGUAAUCGAAGAUGUAUAUGGCUUAUGUAAAUCCACUUUGUU